rnacentral:piRNA from 1 species
UACUUAAUUUUGUUCUGGUGUUAUGCUUU